CUGAGUGGCGGACGGGUGAGUAACGCGUGGGGAACCUGCCCCAUACCGGGGGAUAACAGCCGGAAACGGCUGCUAAUACCGCAUAAGCGCACAGUACCGCAUGGUACGGUGUGAAAAACUCCGGUGGUAUGGGAUGGACCCGCGUCUGAUUAGCCAGUUGGCGGGGUAACGGCCCACCAAAGCGACGAUCAGUAGCCGGCCUGAGAGGGCGACCGGCCACAUUGGGACUGAGACACGGCCCAGACUCC
rnacentral:rRNA from 1 species